rnacentral:rRNA from 1 species
GUGAGGAAUUUUGCGCAAUGGCCGCAAGGCUGACGCAGCAACGCCGCGUGGGUGAUGAAGGCCUUCGGGUCGUAAAGCCCUGUCAGGUGGGAAGAAAGGCUUGGAGAAGCAACGCUUUGAGUUUGACGGUACCACCAGAGGAAGCACCGGCUAACUCCGUGCCAGCAGCCGCGGUAAUACGGAGGGUGCGAGCGUUAUUCGGAAUUACUGGGCGUAAAGCGCGUGUAGGCGGGGAUGCAAGUCUGAUGUGAAAGCCCUGGGCUUAACCUGGGAAGUGCAUUGGAAACUGCAUUUCUUGAGUACUGGAGAGGAAGGGGGAAUUCCCGGUGUAGAGGUGAAAUUCGUAGAGAUCGGGAGGAAUACCAGUGGCGUAGGCGCCCUUCUGGACGGUAACUGACGCUGAGACGCGAAAGCGUGGGGAGCAAACAGGAUUAGAAACCCUGGUAGUCC